CCCUUAGAUGUUCUGGGCCGCACGCGUGCUACACUGAACGGCUCAAUGGGUAAGGUAGUGCGAAAGCAUGACCUAAUCUCGAAAUCCGUUCGUGCUGGGGAUAGAAGCUUGCAAUUAUCCUUCUUGAACGAGGAAUACCUUGUAAGCGUGAGUCAUCAUCUCACGCUGAAUACGUCCCUGCCCUUUGUACACACCGCCCGUCGCUCCUACCGAUUGAGUGUUCCGGUGAGGCUUUGGGAGAAUGGCCUCAACAUGAGUUUAUCGUGUUUUGCCGUUUGAACUUAGUCAAACCUUAUCACUUAGAGGAAGGAGAAGUCGUAACA
rnacentral:rRNA from 1 species